CACGUAGGGCGCAAGCGUUGUCCGGAAUUAUUGGGCGUAAAGAGCUCGUAGGCGGUCUGUUGCGUCCGCUGUGAAAACUCGGGGCUUAACCCCGAGCCUGCAGUGGAUACGGGCAGACUAGAGGUAGGUAGGGGAGAAUGGAAUUCCCGGUGUAGCGGUGAAAUGCGCAGAUAUCGGGAGGAACACCGGUGGCGAAGGCGGCAUCCUGGACCGGCAUUGACGCUGAGGAGCGAAAGCUAGGGGAGCAAACGGG
rnacentral:rRNA from 1 species